rnacentral:rRNA from 1 species
GUGUACAAGUAGUAUAUACCAUACUCAACCGGUACGGGAAUUAGGGUUCGAUUCCGGAGAGGGAGCCUGAGAAGAACUACCACAUCCAAGGAAGGCAGCAGGCGCGCAAAUUACCCAAUCCCGACACGGGGAGGUAGUGACAAUAAAUAACAAUACAGGGCUCUUUUGGGUCUUGUAAUUGGAAUGAGUACAAUUUAAAUCCCUUAACGAGGAACAAUUGGAGGGCAAGUCUGGUGCCAGCAGCCGCGGUAAUUCCAGCUCCAAUAGCGUAUAUUAAAGUUGUUGCAGUUAAAAAGCUCGUAGUUGAAUUUCGGGGUUCUACCGUUGGUCAGGCUAUUGUCUGUACUGGCGUGUAGAAUUUCUACCUUCUGGGGAACUAUCAUGUUAUUAAUUUGGCGUGAUAGGAAACCCGGGACCUUUACCUUGAAAAAAUUAAGAGGUGUUCAAAGCAGUUGUUUAUUUUUCUUAAAUAC